AACGCUGGCGGCGUGCCUAACACAUGCAAGUCGAACGGAGUGUUUCGCUGAAUUUGAUAAUAGCUUGCUAGAGGAUAAUUCUUGAAACACUUAGUGGCGGACGGGUGAGUAACACGUGAGCAACCUGCCUUUAAGAGGGGGAUAACAUUGAGAAAUCAGUGCUAAUACCGCAUAAAGCUAUUUAACCGCAUGAUUAAAUAGCUAAAGGAGAAAUCCGCUUAAAGAUGGGCUCGCGGCUGAUUAGUUAGUUGGUAGGGUAACGGCCUACCAAGACGAUGAUCAGUAGCCGAGCUGAGAGGCACAACGGCCACAUUGGGACUGAGAUACGGCCCAGACUCCUACGGGAGGCAGCAGUGGGGAAUAUUGGGCAAUGGGGGAAACCCUGACCCAGCAACGCCGCGUGAAGGAAGAAGGCCUUCGGGUUGUAAACUUCUUUUAGCAGGGACGAAUACGUGACGGUACCUGCAGAAAAAGCAACGGCUAACUACGUG
rnacentral:rRNA from 1 species